rnacentral:rRNA from 1 species
AAGUCGUAACAAGGUUUCCGUAGGUGAACCUGCGGAAGGAUCAUUACCUAGAGUUUGUAGACUUCGGUCUGCUACCUCUUACCCAUGUCUUUUGAGUACCUUCGUUUCCUCGGCGGGUCCGCCCGCCGAUUGGACAACAUUCAAACCCUUUGCAGUUGCAAUCAGCGUCUGAAAAAACAUAAUAGUUACAACUUUCAACAACGGAUCUCUUGGUUCUGGCAUCGAUGAAGAACGCAGCGAAAUGCGAUAAGUAGUGUGAAUUGCAGAAUUCAGUGAAUCAUCGAAUCUUUGAACGCACAUUGCGCCCCUUGGUAUUCCAUGGGGCAUGCCUGUUCGAGCGUCAUUUGUACCUUCAAGCUCUGCUUGGUGUUGGGUGUUUGUCUCGCCUCUGCGUGUAGACUCGCCUUAAAACAAUUGGCAGCCGGCGUAUUGAUUUCGGAGCGCAGUACAUCUCGCGCUUUGCACUCAUAACGACGCGUCCAAAAGUACAUUUUUACACUCUUGACCUCGGAUCAGGUAGGGAUACCCGCUGAACUUAA